UCCUGCCUACGGGCGGCCGCCGUCGGGCCUCUUCCCCCCUUUCCGCCCGUCUGAUGGAGCAACGCCGCGUGAGUGAAGAAGGGUUUCGGCUCGUAAAGCUCUGUUGGUAGUGGAGAAAGAUAGAGGUAGUAACUGGCCUUUAUUUGACGGUAAUUACUUAGAAAGUCACGGCUAACUACGUGCCAGCAGCCGCGGUAAUACGUAGGUGGCAAGCGUUGUCCGGAUUUAUUGGGCGUAAAGCGGGUGCAGGGGGUUCCAA
rnacentral:rRNA from 1 species